rnacentral:lncRNA from 1 species
UAAAAUAAACUGCUAUUAAGAUACUAAUUCCUUUUAUAACAUUGUGACUUACUUUGCUUGUCUGAGUAUCUAUCAUUUGUCACAUGUCCGUUAAAGGUACAAGAAAUAUGUAUAAGAUCUCUUAUUUGUAUAGAAGUAAAAAAUCAUUAAAAUUUUCAUUUGUCCCAUGACUUUGAUGGGAAGAAAGAAUACCUACAAGAUCUCUUAUUUUUAUAGAAGUACAAAAUCAAAUACUACAAGCUAAUUGUAAACCUAAAUAACAAAUCAAGGUCAUUGGUGGAAAGCAGCAAUUCAAUCAGGGUGACUUCAUUACCU